UGCACGCUGGCGGCGUGCCUAAUACAUGCAAAUCGAGCGAACAGACGAGGAGCUUGCUCCUCUGACGUUAGCGGCGGACGGGUGAGUAACACGUGGAUAACCUACCUAUAAGACUGGGAUAACUUCGGGAAACCGGAGCUAAUACCGGAUAAUAUAUUGAACCGCAUGGUUCAAUAGUGAAAGACGGUUUUGCUGUCACUUAUAGAUGGAUCCGCGCCGCAUUAGCUAGUUGGUAAGGUAACGGCUUACCAAGGCAACGAUGCGUAGCCGACCUGAGAGGGUGAUCGGCCACACUGGAACUGAGACACGGUCCAGACUCCUACGGGAGGCAGCAGUAGGGAAUCUUCCGCAAUGGGCGAAAGCCUGACGGAGCAACGCCGCGUGAGUGAUGAAGGUCUUCGGAUCGUAAAACUCUGUUAUUAGGGAAGAACAAAUGUGUAAGUAACUAUGCACGUCUUGACGGUACCUAAUCAGAAAGCCACGGCUAACUACGUG
rnacentral:rRNA from 1 species